ensembl:lncRNA
GUUAGUAUUUCCGGCCAUGUGGGUGGUGAGACGGGGGUGGAAGGACCACUGUGGCCUGGUGGUGGGUUGGGAGCUGUCAGCCUCCCCGUGACAGGGGCUUCUGGCCCACUCAGACCGAUUAGAAAAGUGGCUGUGACAUGGGGUGGGAUCAAGGAAACCCUGAGGAUUUGACUCUGGUUGGCAGAAGUGGGGAAUCCAAAAAGGAAGCUGGGUGUGGAGAGGAAGAUGCUGAAUUUUAAACAUUUAAACUGCCGAGUUUGUGGUUCUGGAAAAAUAUCCAAGUGGAGUAUCCAGCCAGCUGGGGGAAAUGUAGGGCUGGAAAUCUGGAGAGAGAUUGGGGCGACAUCUACAUACAUGUGAAUGAUUACAGGAGAAGGGCUCAGGAUUUUUAUGGGACAAAGGGAGGAAGAUGGGGUAGGUCGUAUUAAAGAAGCAUUCGUGGGGCUGGCCCCGUGGAGGAGUGGUUAAGUUCGCGCGCUCUGCUGCAGGCGGCCCAGUGUUUCGUUGGUUCGAAUCCUGGGCGUGGACAUGGCACUGCUCAUGAAACCACGCUGAGGCAGCGUCCCACAUGCCACAACUAGAAGGACCCACAACGAAGAAUAUACAACUAUGUACCGGGGGCUUUGGGGAGAAAAAGGAAAAAAAAAUAAAAUCUUUAAAGAAGCGUUCGUUGGUGGUAGAUGAGGUAAGGCUAGGUUUAUACUUCAUAGAUUGGCUUGAGAUUUGGUCAUCAGGCAAAAGGCUAGACUUGUACUUCAUUGAUUGCUUAGGGAUCUGGUUAUCAGGAAAGUCCAGUUUCUUCAGUCCUUAUAAACAGGAUAUUCUUGUCUUUACUGACUUCUUGGAAUGUUAGUGGUUUGGAAGAUAAAGAAAACAAGACGUGCAAGGCAAUUCCUCUGAAAUGGCUGCUCCAGCUCUAUCUUAAUAUGGUUCCCUUCAUGUCCUCUUUCACAAUUCUUGUUUGAGAAGUUUGUUGGUGAAAGGAGAAAGAUGAAAUGUCAGGUUCAGGUCAGGUUUGAUCCAGGAUAUGUGUGUUUGUGUGGAGCAGGAAAUGAGCCCAGGAGAGGGGCAGAUUGGAGAUGCUGGUGGGUACUCUGUGAGGAGGACAGGCCUCCAAGAGCUUGGGAAGGAGAAGGUCCUUGAGAAGGAUGUUGGGCGUCCUUUCCUUUGGGAUAGUCGAGAGGGAAGAAAAUGGUGACAACACUGCUAAUUUGAAAUUUAAAAGAAAAAGGUAUAUGCAGUAUACCAGAGACUGUAAUUUCCCAAUAUCUAUUCCCUCUUUCAUUCGUAGUAAGCAGUGUGCCCCCUCCUGAAUUUUUAGCCCAGAAAAUGACUGUUGGGAAAGAAGUCUACUUUUUCCAGCUUUCCUUGAAGCUGAAAGAGAGCACAUGCCUAAGUUUUGGCUGAUGGGAUGUAAAUGGAAGUGCUGGGGAUAACUUCUGAGAAGUUUCCAUAAGGGGAAGGGGGUACCCUUCUUCUCCUUUUUCCUUUUUCCUGCAGGUUAGACUGUGGAUAUGAUGGCUGGAGGUGGACAAGCCACUUUAGACCAACAGGUAUCCUUGGGAAUGGAGAUCAGGCAAGGUGAAGCAGCGAAAUAAAAGGAACCUGAGGGGCCGGCCCCAUGGCUGAGUGGUUAAGUCCAUGCACUCUGCUUCAGCGCCCCAGGGUUCACUGGUUUGGAUCCUGGGUGUGGACCUACAUACCACCCAUCAAGCCAUGCUGUGGCAGCAUCCCACAUAGAAGAACUGGCAUGACUUGCAACUAGGAUAUACAACUAUGCACUGGGGCUUUGGGGAGUAAAAGAAAAAAAAGAAGAAGAUUGGCAACAGGUGUUAGCUCAGGGCUAAUCUUCCUCACUAAAAAAAAACUUAUCCUUAAAAAAAAAAAAGGAAACUGAGUCUCUGAUAUUGUGGUGUGUCAACUAGACUCAAAUCCUCAGGGGGGUCCUUGAUGCCUCCCCAUGUUAUGGCCACAGUUCCAUUUCCUGGCCUCUCACUUCCUGACUUUUGCAUGAGAGAGAAAUCAAAUCACUGCUAAUUUGGGUUUUCUGUUACCGGUAGCUAGUUGUAGUCCUAACCGAUAUCUGAGGGCAUUCUUUCAGGGUAGGCUUGACCUCAGUAAAGUCAACAUGGAGAGCCAGCCCUGAUGGCCUAGUGGUUAAAGUUCAACGUGGGUUUGCUCUCUGGGUGUGGAACCACACCACCCACCAUCUGUCAGUAGCCAUGCUGUGAUGGCAGCUCACAUGGAAGAACUAGAAAGACUCACAACUAUGUACUGAGGCUUUGGGGAGGGGGAAAAAAAAGAGAGAGGAAGAUUGGCAACAGAUGUUAGCUCAGGGCAAAUCUUUCCCAGCAAAAAAAAAAAAAGUCAACAUGGAGACCAUCUUUGAAGUGGAGGAUGUGAAGUACGAGCAACAGGGAUGGGAUCUGGGACGGCUGCUGACAGUGAGACACUUCUAAAGAUACACCUGGGGGACGUGUGAGAGAACCGCCUGCCUAUGGGGCCAGGGACUCCAAACCACACCCGGCUGCCUCCAGGACAGAGGAGAUCAAGAUCUCAGUUUUCAGGACACCUACUGGAAAGCUCUGGGUCGAGCUGCAGAAGUUGUUACCAAAACCAAAGUGGGCUCCCUCCUGGCGAGUUAGAUCAGCGCCUCCACCAGAAGGAGUUGUCUCACAAAGUAAGGAAAACAUCAAACAGCCCUCAUCAGCUUAGAAAACUUUUAAACCUGGAAGGGACUCUAGAGAUGAUUGAACUAAUUUUAAACUUGAGGAAAUAGCAGAUAUGUCAUACGAUGUGCCCCAGGACAACUGAUCAGAGAAUCCUGUGAAUUAGAUAUUAGAAUCAUUGAGGCUCAGAAAGACCAAGUGACCUUCUGAAACCUUGCAGCUAAUAAGUGUGGACUGAGGACUUGGAACCCAAUCCUCUCACCUGAAAUCCUGUGCUCGUUCCACUGUACGUGGGCUCUAGGAGUUUGUGGCCUUCUUGGAAAGAUAAGCACAUAAAAGAUAACUGAAAUCCAAUGUGAUAUGUGCUGUGACAGACAUCGGGAGAGAGCAUGGGGAAGCACAUGAGAGAGGCAACAACAAGUAGGACUUUCCAGAGAAAGCGACUUGGCUGUGAGUCCCAACAGGUGUUCACCAGGUGAGGAAGGUGAGGAAGAGCAUUUCAAGCGAGAAGGAGCAACGUGAGCAAAGGCAAGGGAGUGAAUCAGGGUGGUGCGAACCUCUAGAAGUGGGAGAGUUGGGAGAUGAUGUUGGAGAAAUCUGCAAGGUUUAGGGUGUGGAAAAUCUUGUCUCCACGUUAAAGGGCUCGGCAGGGGAGCUGCUGUAGGAUUUCCAGCACUACGGGUAGAUUUGCAUUUUAGAUACAACACUCUCAUGGCUGAAUAGAGGAUGGAAUUGGUUGAGGGGAGACUGGAGAGUUUCCUGUGUUAGCUAAGAGAGGGAUAGUAGAAAUGGAGAGAAAGGGUUGCAUUUGAGAUUUCAGAGGUAAAUCUGAAACCGGCAAACAGCCAUUGAUGAUUAAGCAUCUAGGUACUGUUUUUUUUCCUUUCUGCAAUUACUGAUUAUAGCUUUUAGCUGUUUACCCCACCCAUCGUUAACUGUGCUGCUUAGGCACUAUGCUAUCUGACUCCCACUAGGCUCCUAUAGAUAACAUCUCCCUGGAGCCUGGGGCCCCAUGGUAAUGGGUGUGUGAGCUGUUUUUCAGGAAUUAGAACUCCUUGUCCACUUCAGGACAGUUGAGACCACCAACCCAACUGGGCCCGUGGAGAUGUCUGAUAGGCGACCUUUUGAGGUCAAGAGGCUAAAAACUCCACCCUCAGAUCACGCCCAUGCUGCCAUUUUUGUGAACAUGGGUUCAAUGAAGACGCAUGGAGUCUGACUACACUUGCACAGAUCAUCAAUUACCUCACCCCUCCUCACCUCCAAUCACCUCUCUCCACAUUUCAGACCACCUUGUCCCACUAUCCCAUAAAUAUCCCUGAGUCCCUAUUUUCGGGGAAGCAAAUUUGAGGCUCAUGCCCUCGCUUCCUCACAUGGCUGCCUUGUGAUUAAACUCUCUCUCUGCUGCAAUCUCGUCGUCUGGGUGUUUGGCUUUCUGGGUGGCGGGCAAAAAUGAACCUGGUUUGGUAACAAUCCCCAGGGGGCUCAGUGCUUGAUUGGGUAUGGGAGAUGAGGACAGGGGACAGUCAAAGGCAUUCACCAGUUUAUGGCUAUACCAUAGGCCAGUGCAACUGGGUGGAUGAUGCUGUUGCCAUUCCAACAUAGGAAGCACAGGUUGAGAGGUGAAAUGGGAGCCAUGAUGAGCUAAUUUUGGGCAUGUUGAGUUGGAGUCUCUUAUCUGAGUGAAGACAUUCAGCAGACAGUGGAAUGUAUGAGUCUGGUGCUUAGUAGCUAGAAGACUGAGCUGGAGAAACACAUUUGGGAGUCCUCAGCAUACACUUGGUGGUUCAGCUCUGUAGAAUGGUUAAAAGAGCCAAGAAGAAUAUAAGACAAGAAGAUGGCAGGAGAUAGAACUUGGGAGAAUGCCUGUAUUUAAGGGGUGGGCAGAGGAAAGAGUUGUAGCAAAAGAUGAAGAAUGGCUCCCGAGGUAGGCUGAGAAUCCAUAAGAUCAUGGAAGCCAAGAAAGGAGAAGGCUAUCAGAUUGAGAACAGACCAUUGCGUUUAGCAAUGCAGAGGUUACAAAGAACCUUCAGUUUUGGUGGAGUCGUAGGCACUAAAGCCUGUGUAAGAGAGAACAAUGAAUUUGUUUCCUCUACCCAAGGGUGGGGUCUGCACAGGCCCAGCUCCUUGAAUUGGCACAGAGUGAGCUUAUGCAGUACUGGAGGCAGAUGACAGAGCACGCUGCUUGCCGUCUGCAGACAGGUCCCUCAGAGCAGAGUAGCCCAUGGUCUCAGUGGAGAAGGGUGGAGGGAAGGCUCGCCCCACAACCACCACGGCCCCAAACACACGCACAUAACCUCUUUUAUUGUUUUCUUUAAGGCAGAAAUUGAAGGCUCAUGGA